rnacentral:rRNA from 1 species
UGAACGCUGGCGGCGUGCCCAACACAUGCAAGUCGAGCGGCAGCGAGGGGUGCUUGCACCCUGUCGGCGAGCGGCGGACGGCUGGGUAACGCGUGGGAACGUGCCCCAAAGUGAGGAAUAACUGCCCGAAAGGGUAGCUAAUACCGCAUAUUAUCUUCGGAUCAAAGGAUUUAUCCGCUUUGGGAGCGGCUCGCGUCGGAUUAGGUAGUUGGUGAGGUAAUGGCUCACCAAGCCGACGAUCCGUAGCUGGUCUGAGAGGAUGACCAGCCAGACUGGAACUGAGACACGGUCCAGACUCCUACGGGAAGCAGCAGUGAGGAAUCUUCCACAAUGGGCGAAAGCCUGAUGGAGCAACGCCGCGUGCAGGACGAAGGCCUUCGGGUUGUAAACUGCUUUUAUAAGUGAGGAAUAUGACGGUAACUUAUGAAUAAGGAUCGGCUAACUACGUG